rnacentral:rRNA from 1 species
CCUACGGGUGGCUGCAGUGAGGAAUAUUGGUCAAUGGCCGUAAGGCUGAACCAGCCAAGUCGCGUGAAGGAAGAAGGACCUAUGGUUUGUAAACUUCUUUUAUAGGGGAAUAAAGGUAUCCACGUGUGGAUAUUUGCAUGUACCAUAUGAAUAAGCAUCGGCUAACUCCGUGCCAGCAGCCGCGGUAAUACGGAGGAUGCGAGCGUUAUCCGGAUUUAGUGGGUUUAAAGGGUGCGUAGGUGGUUUUUUAAGUAAGGUGUGAAAGUUUGUGGCUCAACCAUAAAAUUGCGGUUGAAACUGGCAGACUUGAGUGUGUUAGAGGUAGGCGGAAUUCGUGGUGUAGCGGUGAAAUGCAUAGAUAUCACGAAGAACUCCGAUUGCGAAGGCAGCUUACUGGGCUGUAACUGACACUGAGGCACGAAAGCGUGGGGAUCAAACAGGAUUAGAUACCCGUGUAGUC